rnacentral:rRNA from 1 species
UGGUUUGUCGCGUCGUUCGUGAAAUCUCACGGCUUAACUGUGAGCGUGCGGGCGAUACGGGCAGACUUGAGUACUGCAGGGGAGACUGGAAUUCCUGGUGUAGCGGUGGAAUGCACAGAUAUCAGGAGGAACACCGGUGGCGAAGGCGGGUCUCUGGGCAGUAACUGACGCUGAGGAGCGAAAGCGUGGGGAGCGAACAGGAUUAGAUACCCUGGUAGUCCACGCCGUAAACGGUGGGUACUAGGUGUGGGUUUCCUUCCUUGGGAUCCGUGCCGUAGCUAACGCAUUAAGUACCCCGCCUGGGGAGUACGGCCGCAAGGCUAAAACUCAAAGAAAUUGACGGGGGCCCGCACAAGCGGCGGAGCAUGUGGAUUAAUUCGAUGCAACGCGAAGAACCUUACCUGGGUUUGACAUGCACAGGACGCCGGCAGAGAUGUCGGUUCCCUUGUGGCCUGUGUGCAGGUGGUGCAUGGCUGUCGUCAGCUCGUGUCGUGAGAUGUUGGGUUAAGUCCCGCAACGAGCGCAACCCUUGUCUCAUGUUGCCAGCGGGUAAUGCCGGGGACUCGUGAGAGACUGCCGGGGUCAACUCGGAGGAAGGUGGGGAUGACGUCAAGUCAUCAUGCCCCUUAUGUCCAGGGCUUCACACAUGCUACAAUGGCCGGUACAAAGGGCUGCGAUGCCGCGAGGUUAAGCGAAUCCUUUUAAAGCCGGUCUCAGUUCGGAUCGGGGUCUGCAACUCGACCCCGUGAAGUCGGAGUCGCUAGU